rnacentral:lncRNA from 1 species
CGUGUAUAUUUAGGUGUCUCUCGGUAACCUGUGUGACGUGUAUUUAGGUGUCUCUGAACCUGUGUGUACUGUUAUUUAGGUGUCUCUGUAACCUGUGUGACGUGUAUUUAGGUGUCUCUGCUGUAACCUGUGUGACGUGUAUUUAGGUGUCUCUGUAACUUGUGUGACGUGUAUUUAGGUGCUCUCUGUAACCUGUGGUGACUGUAUUUAGGUGUCUCUGUAACCUGUGUGACGUGUAUUUAUGUGUCUCUCUGUAACCUGUGUGACGUGUAUUUAGGUGUCUCUGUAACCUGUGUGACGUGUAUUUAGGUGUCUCUCUCUCUAACCUGGUGUGGAUGUGUAUUUAGGUGUCCUGUAACCUGUGUGAC